GCAGAGGGGGGUCCGAUGCCAGUUGCUUAAAAAUGCCCCUGUAGCAUCAAGAGGUGCCAGAACCGAGUCAACUUAGUUGAGAAGCAGUGACACCCACAACCAUACCCCAAAUAAGCUGAGCCUCCACCUCCGAAGAGUCCUCCCUGGGCCAGACAACAGCCAAGGCAAGAGUGAUGGCUAGUCAAAUCCCCCACUACGCUGGAGAAUGAGGAGCCCUAGAGAGAAAUCCUCCCGAGAACCAGAAAAACGAACAGCGGUGCCCGCCUGCUCCCAGAUCUGAGCUUCCCAACAGACAGAAGCCAGAGAUUCCCCUAGCCCGGAGACAUUUUCUGAAGACGUAGGAAAAGGAGAAAAAGAGGAACACCCCCUGCAGCAGGCCUCCGAGAUGCAGAGAGCCAACGCCAAGCGCAAGCCCUGAGGAAAAGCUACCUACAGACAACCCUGAAGGUGUGUGUCUUCCAGCAUCAAGACCAUCACAGUCACCAUGAAGCAAAGGUCUUCCGGGGACCCUGGGAUCUUAUCAAGAGCAGGGUGAGUGGGUGGUUUGGGGUUGGGGUGCCCUGCUCACCUGGAAGUUCCCACACAAGCCACGCCCAUAGAAGAAAAUGAAUUCUCCACGUGGCCACUCAGUCAGCCACCACCACACGUCUGAUAUGUCUGUUGUCGCGUGCAAGUCUUCAGCAGUUUCUAGGGACCCCACAUUGUAACAUAGGAGCCCUGGCCUCAGGGAACUGCAGAGGUAAGUGGGGAUGGCCCAGAGAGAGGAUGAGGUGGUUUGCAACUCAAGCAGCGUUCAACACGGCCCUGAUUUGGGAGCUGAGGAAAUCCAGCCAGCUCCCUUUCCUCGUGUAGGAAUUCUACCUCAAGAGUUGGGUAGAAACAGAGUUCACAGGUGGACAGGAACAUGAAGGAGGUGUCCCGGGCUCUAAAGGAGUGAGGAUGGUUUCUCACAAGUGAUCCUUUGCCCAGAAUGCAUACAGAGAUGGGCGGGGAACAAGAGCAGGAAACCAGGAGGUAAGCAAACACAGAGGAGUGUGCAAGGGCACGGGGUUCCAUUCCCAGCACUGCAGAGAAAAAAAAAAUCUAAUUGCACACUUUAAAUGGAUUGGCUCGACCUCAAG